UUAAAUUGAAGAGUUUGAUCAUGGCUCAGAUUGAACGCUGGCGGCAGGCCUAACACAUGCAAGUCGAACGGUAACAGGAAGCAGCUUGCUGCUUCGCUGACGAGUGGCGGACGGGUGAGUAAUGUCUGGGAAACUGCCUGAUGGAGGGGGAUAACUACUGGAAACGGUAGCUAAUACCGCAUAACGUCGCAAGACCAAAGAGGGGGACCUUAGGGCCUCUUGCCAUCGGAUGUGCCCAGAUGGGAUUAGCUAGUAGGUGGGGUAACGGCUCACCUAGGCGACGAUCCCUAGCUGGUCUGAGAGGAUGACCAGCCACACUGGAACUGAGACACGGUCCAGACUCCUACGGGAGGCAGCAGUGGGGAAUAUUGCACAAUGGGCGCAAGCCUGAUGCAGCCAUGCCGCGUGUAUGAAGAAGGCCUUCGGGUUGUAAAGUACUUUCAGCGGGGAGGAAGGGAGUAAAGUUAAUACCUUUGCUCAUUGACGUUACCCGCAGAAGAAGCACCGGCUAACUCCGUGCCAGCAGCCGCGGUAAUACGGAGGGUGCAAGCGUUAAUCGGAAUUACUGGGCGUAAAGCGCACGCAGGCGGUUUGUUAAGUCAGAUGUGAAAUCCCCGGGCUCAACCUGGGAACUGCAUCUGAUACUGGCAAGCUUGAGUCUCGUAGAGGGGGGUAGAAUUCCAGGUGUAGCGGUGAAAUGCGUAGAGAUCUGGAGGAAUACCGGUGGCGAAGGCGGCCCCCUGGACGAAGACUGACGCUCAGGUGCGAAAGCGUGGGGAGCAAACAGGAUUAGAUACCCUGGUAGUCCACGCCGUAAACGAUGUCGACUUGGAGGUUGUGCCCUUGAGGCGUGGCUUCCGGAGCUAACGCGUUAAGUCGACCGCCUGGGGAGUACGGCCGCAAGGUUAAAACUCAAAUGAAUUGACGGGGGCCCGCACAAGCGGUGGAGCAUGUGGUUUAAUUCGAUGCAACGCGAAGAACCUUACCUGGUCUUGACAUCCACGGAAGUUUUCAGAGAUGAGAAUGUGCCUUCGGGAACCGUGAGACAGGUGCUGCAUGGCUGUCGUCAGCUCGUGUUGUGAAAUGUUGGGUUAAGUCCCGCAACGAGCGCAACCCUUAUCCUUUGUUGCCAGCGGUCCGGCCGGGAACUCAAAGGAGACUGCCAGUGAUAAACUGGAGGAAGGUGGGGAUGACGUCAAGUCAUCAUGGCCCUUACGACCAGGGCUACACACGUGCUACAAUGGCGCAUACAAAGAGAAGCGACCUCGCGAGAGCAAGCGGACCUCAUAAAGUGCGUCGUAGUCCGGAUUGGAGUCUGCAACUCGACUCCAUGAAGUCGGAAUCGCUAGUAAUCGUGGAUCAGAAUGCCACGGUGAAUACGUUCCCGGGCCUUGUACACACCGCCCGUCACACCAUGGGAGUGGGUUGCAAAAGAAGUAGGUAGCUUAACCUUCGGGAGGGCGCUUACCACUUUGUGAUUCAUGACUGGGGUGAAGUCGUAACAAGGUAACCGUAGGGGAACCUGCGGUUGGAUCACCUCCUUACCUUAAAGAAGC
rnacentral:rRNA from 3 species